rnacentral:rRNA from 1 species
UACGUAGGGUGCGAGCGUUAAUCGGAAUUACUGGGCGUAAAGCGUGCGCAGGCGGUGAUGUAAGACAGGUGUGAAAUCCCCGGGCUUAACCUGGGAACUGCAUUUGUGACUGCAUCGCUGGAGUGCGGCAGAGGGGGAUGGAAUUCCGCGUGUAGCAGUGAAAUGCGUAGAGAUGUGGAGGAAUACCGAUGGCGAAGGCAGCCUCCUGGGCCAACACUGACGCUCAUGCACGAAAGCGUGGGGAGCAAACAGG